CCUGACGUAACAAAUGCAAGUCGAGCGAUACAACCUCCUAUCGGGAGGGGAUUAGUGGCCAACGGGUGAGUAACACGUGGGCAAUCUGCCCUGCACUCUGAGACAAGCCCUGGAAACGGGGUCUAAUACCGGAUACGACUCUGACCGCAUGGUCUCUGGGUGGAAAGCUCCGGCGGUGCAGGAUGAGCCCGCGGCCUAUCAGCUUGUUGGUGAGGUAACGGCUCACCAAGGCGACAACAGGUAGCCGGCCUGAGAGGGCGACCGGCCACACUGGGACUGAGACACGGCCCAGACUCCUACGGGAGGCAGCAGUGGGGAAUAUUGCACAAUGGGCGCAAGCCUGAUGCAGCGACGCCGCGUGAGGGAUGACGGCCUUCGGGUUGUAAACCUCUUUCAGCAGGGAAGAAGCGAGAGUGACGGUACCUGCAGAAGAAGCGCCGGCUAACUACGUGCCAGCAGCCGCGGUAAUACGUAGGGCGCAAGCGUUGUCCGGAAUUAUUGGGCGUAAAGAGCUCGUAGGCGGCUUGUCGCGUCGGUUGUGAAAGCCCGGGGCUUAACCCCGGGUCUGCAGUCGAUACGGGCAGGCUAGAGUUCGGUAGGGGAGAUCGGAAUUCCUGGUGUAGCGCUGAAAUGCGCAGAUAUCAUGAGGAACACCGGUGGCGAAGGCGGAUCUCUGGGCCGAUACUGACUCUCAGGAGCGAAAGCGUGGGGAGCGAACAGGAUUAGAUACCCUGGUAGUCCACGCCGUAACGGUGGGCACUAGGUGUGGGCAACACUCCACGUUGUCCGUGCCGCACUAC
rnacentral:rRNA from 1 species